rnacentral:tRNA from 1 species
GCCACCUUAGCUCAGUUGGUAGAGCACGUCACUCGUAAUGACGGGGUCGUCGGUUCAAAUCCGACAGGUGGCU